AUUUUUAUAAGUUAAAAAAACUAUUAAAUUGCAAAUUUAAAUUUAUUAUUAUUAAUUAAAAAUU
rnacentral:tRNA from 1 species